AAUUUCCGCAAUGGGCGCAAGCCUGACGCAGCAAUACCGAGUGAGGGAAGAUUGCCUGUGGGUUGUAAACUUCUUUUAUUAGGGAAGAUUUAUGACGGUACUUAAGGAAUAAGCAUCGGUUAUGCCGUGCAGCAGCCGGUUAAUUCGGCGGAUGCAAGCGUUAUCCGAAUUCAUGGGCGUAAAAGUCUAUAGGGGGGUUAGUAAGUCUGUUGUAAAAUAUUAGAGCUUAACUGUAUAUCAGCAGUGGAAACUAUUAAACUAGAGUAUGGUAGGGGCAAAGGGAAUUCCCAGUGUAGCGGUGAAAUGGGUAGAUAUUGGGAAGAAUACCGGAACCGAAAGCGCUUUGCUUGGCUUUAAGUGCCACUCAGAGACGAAAGCUAAGGUCGGCAUUGGAAUUGGUACCCCAGUGUCUUAGCGGUG
rnacentral:rRNA from 1 species